AUGGAUGAAAUGCUGCUGAGACGUUACAAGAUAUUCCAGCAGAGGCAUCCUUACCGUCCGCAUUACAAGGAUAUGAGAACAUUGGGGGCGGAACAAUGGAAGGCACAAUUCCAAGUACAGCUCUUCAAGAACAGUUCUCUGAAGGAACAACAAUUUACAAGCUUGGCGCUUACCAGAAUGCCCGCCAUUGUGACGUUUUGGGGAAAAUUAGCAGAUUCCCUUGAUGCAGACAAGCUACAACGGUGGUCUGCUCAAGAACCCAUUAUAGUUCUAUUUGUUGGCAUGCCAGUACAUGAAUUUAAUGAAACUUGGCCUUCAAGUCCUGUCUGCCAUAUUGCGAUGGAACGGCAGUAUAAUAUACAAAACUUUGACGAGGCUCAUCUGCUUCAAAAUUUCACAAUAAGGUGUAUGUUCUAUAACCUCUACGCUUUAGCUGGAAAUGGUAACUUGAUUGAACUCGAUCAGUUUCCAAUCAAGACAAUUUGCAACUUUGGUGUUGUCACAUUGGAGUCCGUGCUGAGCAGCAAUGGGAGACUGUCGUUGAUGCCCAACCAAUGA
rnacentral:rRNA from 1 species